rnacentral:rRNA from 1 species
UACGUAGGCAGCGAGCGUUGUUCGGAGUUACUGGGCGUAAAGGGUGUGUAGGCGGUUGUUUAAGUUUGGUGUGAAAUCUCCCGGCUCAACUGGGAGGGUGCGCCGAAUACUGAAUGACUUCGAGUGCGGGAGAGGAGACUGGAAUUUACGGUGUAGCAGUGAAAUGCGUAGAGAUCGUAAGGAAGACCAGUGGCGAAGGCGGGUCUCUGGACAGUUCCUGACACUGAGGCACGAAGGCCAGGGGAGCAAACGGG